AUUGAACGCUGGCGGCAGGCCUAACACAUGCAAGUCGAACGAGUGGCGGACGGGUGAGUAAUGUCUGGGAAACUGCCCGAUGGAGGGGGAUAACUACUGGAAACGGUAGCUAAUACCGCAUACCAUCGGAUGUGCCCAGAUGGGAUUAGCUAGUAGGUGGGGUAACGGCUCACCUAGGCGACGAUCCCUAGCUGGUCUGAGAGGAUGACCAGGCACACUGGAACUGAGACACGGUCCAGACUCCUACGCGAGGCAGCAGUGGGGAAUAUUGCACAGUGGACGCGAGGCUGAUGCAGCCAAGCCGCGUGUAUGAAGAAGGCCUUCGGGUUGUAAAGUACUUUCAGCGAGGAGGAGUUACUCGCAGAAGAAGCACCGGCUAACUCCGUGCCAGCAGCCGCGGUAAUAC
rnacentral:rRNA from 1 species